rnacentral:piRNA from 1 species
AUAUGAGGUAGUUUUUCUGGAGUGGU